rnacentral:rRNA from 1 species
GACGAACGCUGGCGGCGCGCUUAACACAUGCAAGUCGAACGGAAAGGCCUGCUUUCCCUUGUGGAUUGCGGGUACUCGAGUGGCGAACGGGUGAGUAACACGUGAGUGAUCUGCCCCCAACUUGGGUAUAAGCCUGGGAAACUGGGUCUAAUUCCCGAUAGGACUGCAGGGUGGUGCCUGUGGUGGAAAACGAUUUUCUAGUGGUUGGGGAUGAGCUCGCGGCCUAUCAGCUUGUUGGUGGGGUAAUAGCCUACCAAGGCGGCGACGGGUAGCCGGCCUGAGAGGGUGGACGGCCACAUUGGGACUGAGAUACGGCCCAGACUCCUACGGGAGGCAGCAGUGGGGAAUAUUGCACAAUGGGCGGAAGCCUGAUGCAGCGACGCCGCGUGGGGGAUGACGGCCUUCGGGUUGUAAACUCCUUUCGACCGCGAGGAAGCCACCUGGUUGGAAGGGUGGUGACGGUAGUGGUAGAAGAAGCACCGGCUAACUACGUG